AUUGAACGCUGGCGGCAGGCCUAACACAUGCAAGUCGAACGAGUGGCGGACGGGUGAGUAAUGUCCGGGAAACUGCCUGAUGGAGGGGGAUAACUACUGGAAACGGUAGCUAAUACCGCAUACCAUCAGAUGUGCCCAGAUGGGAUUAGCUAGUUGGUGGGGUAACGGCUCACCAAGGCGACGACCCCUAGCUGGUCUGAGAGGAUGACCAGACACACUGGAACUGAGACACGGUCCAGACUCCUACGGGAGGCAGCAGUGGGGAAUAUUGGACAAUGGAAGCAAGCCUGAUGCAGCCAUGCCGCGUGUGUGAAGAAGGCCUUCGGGUUGUAAAGUACUUUCAGCGGAGAGGCGUUACCCGCAGAAUAAGCACCGGCUAACUCCGUGCCAGCCGCCGCGGUAAUAC
rnacentral:rRNA from 1 species